rnacentral:rRNA from 1 species
AAUGAACGCUAGCGGCAGGCCUAACACAUGCAAGUCGAGGGGCAUCACGGAAAAGCUUGCUUUUCUGGUGGCGACCGGCGCACGGGUGCGGAACGCGUAUGGAACCUGCCCCUGUCAGGGGAAUAGCCCAGGGAAACUUGGAUUAAUGCCCCAUGGUACCGUUAUAUCGCAUGAUAUUACGGUUAAAGAUUUAUCGGACAGGGAUGGCCAUGCGUACCAUUAGUUAGUUGGUGGGGUAACGGCUCACCAAGGCAGCGAUGGUUAGGGGCCCUGAGAGGGGGGAUCCCCCCGACACUUGGUACUGAGACACGGGACCAGACUCCUACGGGGAGGCAGCAGUGAGGAAUAUUGGACAAUGGGCGGGAGCCUGAUCCAGCCAUGCCGCGUGCAGGAUGACGGCCCUAUAGGUUGUAAACUGCUUUUAUACGGGAAGAAACGCGCCCACGUGUGGGCGUUUGACGGUACCGUAAGAAUAAGGACCGGCUAACUCCGUGCCAGCCGCCGCGGUAAU